UGACUUUAAAAAAAAUAUUACUUAAAUAGCAUUAUAAAACAAUAGGAUGGCAUUCUUGGUUUGAGCCGCGAAUAAAAUAUUUUUAAACUACACCUAGAAAUGUGGCUCAUGACACAAGUGUCUGAAAUUAAAAUGACCUGUAGAUCAAAUUAGGUUGGGCAUCACUGAUAGGAAUCAAUUUUAAAAAAUGAACUAAAUAAUGGUACUUAACUCAAUUAUUAUGAUAUAGGAAAGAGAAAUCAAUUUAACAGUAUGGAAAUAUAUGGCUGUAAAUGUGUUAUUUCCCUUACACAAGCUUUUUUAAAAGUAUCUCUUAUAUUAUUUCUUGUGUGUAGUGUCAGUUUGUCAGCCUUGGAAUGUAAGUAAAGUAAGUGGGAAUCAGAGUCUUAAGGAUGAGAAUGUAAUGUAUUGUCCUGGUUGAAGCUAAAAGACAUGCCACCAAUAAAUUCUAAUUUUAUUCAUAGUAUGAGUUACCCCACAUUCAUUUUAGUUGUGUACUCUUCAGGAGUGUGACAUUCUUUCCUCAUUCGAGUACAUUGUUUUAUUUGUACAACUGUAGUGAACAUGUUCGCUUUCCACAGAUUGAUCUAUUAAAUUUGUUUUUAAAGAUAAU